ACAGAUACAAAACAGACCCGCUAGAUUUAAAUCAGCACAGCCAGCGAAGAUCGAACGCAACAGUUUUGAACGAACACACCUUUUUUUAAACAACAAAA